GCUAGCGGCAGGCCUAAUACAUGCAAGCCGAACGGCAAGAACUUUAGCAAUAGAGUUCCUAGAGUGGCGUAAGGGUGCGUAACACGUAUGCAAUCUGCCCUCAACAGGAGGAUAGCUCCCCGAAAGGGGAAUUAAGACUUCUUAGGAAGGAGAGGUGGCAUCACUUUUCUUUUAAAUUACAAGAGGUUGAGGAUGAGCAUGCGCAUGAUUGGUUAGUUGGCGGGGUAACGGCCCACCAAGACAAUGAUCAUUAGGGGAACUGAGAGGUUGAUCCCCCACACUGGCACUGAGAUACGGGCCAGACUCCUACGGGAGGCAGCAGUAGGGAAUAUUGGACAAUGGGUGCGAGCCUGAUCCAGCCAUGCCGCGUGCAGGAAGAAGGCCUUCUGGGUCGUAAACUGCUUUUGCCUGGGGAUAAAAAUUCCAUGCGUGGAAGAUUGAAGGUACCAGGUGAAUAAGCCACGGCUAACUACGUGCCAGCAGCCGCGGUAAUACGUAGGUGGCAAGCGUUGUCCGGAUUUAUUGGGUUUAAAGGGUGCGUAGGCGGUUUCCUAAGUCAGUGGUGAAAUACGGCAGCUUAACUGUCGAGGUGCCAUUGAUACUGGGAGACUUGAGUACUGAUGAGGUAGGCGGAAUGGACGGUGUAGCGGUGAAAUGCUUAGAGAUCGUCCAGAACACCGAUAGCGAAGGCAGCUUACUAAGGAGUAACUGACGCUGAUGCACGAAAGUG
rnacentral:rRNA from 1 species